rnacentral:rRNA from 1 species
CAGCAGCCGCGGUAAUACGAAGGGGGCUAGCGUUGCUCGGAAUUACUGGGCGUAAAGGGAGCGUAGGCGGGUUAUCAAGUUGGAGGUGAAAGCCCAGGGCUCAACCUUGGAAUUGCCUUCAAAACUGAUAGCCUAGAGUAUGAUAGAGGUAAGUGGAACUCCGAGUGUAGAGGUGAAAUUCGUAGAUAUUCGGAAGAACACCAGUGGCGAAGGCGACUUACUGGAUCAUGACUGACGCUGAGGCUCGAAAGCGUGGGGAGCAAACAGGAUUAGAUACCCUGGUAGUCCACGCUGUAAACGAUGAUUGCUAGUUGUCGGACGGCAUGCCGUUCGGUGACGCAGCUAACGCAUUAAGCAAUCCGCCUGGGG